GACGAACGCUGGCGGCGUGCUUAACACAUGCAAGUCGAACGGAAAGGCCCUGCUUUUGUGGGGUGCUCGAGUGGCGAACGGGUGAGUAACACGUGAGUAACCUGCCCUUGACUUUGGGAUAACUUCAGGAAACUGGGGCUAAUACCGGAUAGGAGCUCCUGCUGCAUGGUGGGGGUUGGAUAGUUUCGGCGGUUGGGGAUGGACUCGCGGCUUAUCAGCUUGUUGGUGGGGUAGUGGCUUACCAAGGCUUUGACGGGUAGCCGGCCUGAGAGGGUGACCGGCCACAUUGGGACUGAGAUACGGCCCAGAGUCGUACGGGAGGCAGCAGUGGGGAAUAUUGCACAAUGGGCGGAAGCCUGAUGCAGAAACGCCGCGUGCGGGAUGACGGCCUUCGGGUUGUAAACCGCUUUCGCCUGUGACGAAGCGUGAGUGACGGUAAUGGGUAAAGAAGCACCGGCUAACUACGUG
rnacentral:rRNA from 1 species